rnacentral:sRNA from 1 species
AGGUGCGAUCAUACCAGCACUAAUGCACCGGAUCCCAUCAGAACUCCGCAGUUAAGCGUGCUUGGGCGAGAGUAGUACUAGGAUGGGUGACCUCCUGGGAAGUCCUCAGUGUUGCACCUCUUUUUUCCACGGGAGGUAGCAUUAACGGACUCG